rnacentral:rRNA from 1 species
AUGUGCUACCUUGGACUUUCGUUAUCCGUCAAGCGCCUCAAGCGAAUCCACUUCCAGUACCUUGAAGAUAAAAUUGCGGGCAACCUCCCUCCCUGGCAGGGAAGACAUGUGGCCUCUGAUGGCCGUGUGGUUCUUGUUAAGGCCGUCCUAACUGACAUUGUUAUCUACCAUCUCACGCCUCUCGACAUCCCGGUGGAGGUCCUCAAGAAAAUUGACAAUAUUCGCCGUGCAUAUCUUUGGGUGGGCUCAGACAAGGUGUCUGGAGGAAAAUGCAAGGUUAACUGGAAGCUCGUCUGUAAGCCCAAGGAUAAGGGUGGGCUUGGAGUGCUUAACUUGGAUAAGUUCGCCAACGCUCUGCGGCUCCGAUGGCUAUGGUUUGAAUGGACUGACAAGAGCAAGCCCUAG